UACGUAGGGCGCAAGCGUUAUCCGGAAUUAUUGGGCGUAAAGAGCUCGUAGGCGGUUUGUCGCGUCUGCCCGUGAAAAGUCCGGGGCUCAACUCCGGAUCUGCGGUGGGUACGGGCAGACUAGAGUGAUGUAGGGGGAGACUGGAAUUCCUGGUGUAGCGGUGAAAUGCGCAGAUAUCAGGAGGAACACCAGUGGCGAAGGCGGUGCUCUGGGCCGGAACUGACGCUGAGGAGCGAAAGCGUGGGGAGCAAACAGG
rnacentral:rRNA from 1 species